GAGUUCAUGCCCAAAAGGGUAGACCUCCCACCCUUGUGUAUUAUUACUUUGUUGCUUUGGCGAGCUGCCUUCGGGCCUUGUAUGCUCGCCAGAGAAUAUCAAAACUCUUUUUAUUUAUGUCGUCUGAGUACUAUAUAAUAGUUAAAACUUUCAACAACGGAUUUCCUGGUUCU
rnacentral:misc_RNA from 1 species